rnacentral:lncRNA from 1 species
AAAGAUGCUUGAGGUGUGAGCAGACACAGGGUGCUGCCACAGUUGCUUUUUCUGGAUCUCUGUAUUCUCCUCCCCUCCCUUAACACCCCUUCCACUCUCCUUUACUUCUUUCUUUCUCCUUCCCUCCCUCCUCACUCCCUCCUGCCCUCCAUCUUCCUCCCUGUGGGAGGAGGAGUUAGGUCAGGUCAAUACAUUAGCAAGGAUUUUAGGAAAAGGGUGGUUAUUCUCUAUGAAUCUAACUAAUUAGGCUUCUUGCACGGAUGGAGAAUUUUAGGGGGUUGGUGUGUUAGAAAGCAGUGUGACUUGGCAACUGCCAAGGGACUGGGGGACAAAACCACUGAGAAGACUGCUGGUCUGGCUGGCAAAGGCAGUGGAGUUGGGAGUCAAAUAUGGCGAGGUGACAGGACAGGUCUGUGAUAGACACCCCCCCAGCAGAAGCACCUGGACCCAGGUAAAUGGAGGCUGUUUUUUGGAAGCGAUGAAACGGAACUUUGACAAAAUGAAAUGAUUUUAAUUUCAAGAACUUCACAGGGGAGUUUGGAAGAAAGCUCCUGUGGAGAUGUGGGUUCAAUCUACCUCUUCACUGUGGUCAGUGCAUCUCACCUGCUAAUGGGGUGUAAUUUUGUGGAGUCAAUGACAUAUAUUAGAGUCCGGCUGCGUGUGGAGCAGGACCUACACAUUGUGCAGUGGAGCGAGUGUGGGUUUGGGAAAGAACAGAGUGGAGUCCAGUCUGCGAAAAGAGCCACUGCAGUGCCUUAGGGCACUUCUACAAUCAUGAACAAAAAGUACACAGGAGUGCUGCCCAGACAGCAGGGGACAUGUCUGGUCAGGUGGGUUACCUGAGCUUGUGUGUAUGUGGGUCACAGUCAUCUGUAUUUAACAUAGUAUAAAUUAACACAGAGAAAGAUGUGAAGGAUCAGAAUUCACAAGCACAUAUUGCAUUUGUCAAAGGAGAAACGAUAUCAUCAUACACCGUGGAGCUUCUGAAAAACUCCUCUGUGCCCUGGUGAGAGGAUGAAGAUGAGUGAGACAAGGCAAAUAAUGUCUUAGGAUGAUUACAAAAAUUGUUUCAACUUUGUACAUUCCUUGGAAAGAUCUAACUAUCCCUGUGGGUCCCCAUCCUAUGCUUUGAGAAUUGUUCUCAGGAAAGAGAGGAUGAGUGUAGAUUUCCAUAUGAGACGAGUGAUGAAGAAAGUAAGAACUGUUGUAUAUAGUUUAGCAGCUCAAUUAUAAUUUCCUUCUUGCACCAGAUGAGCCUUGAAAACAGAAACCACCACUAGCCUGUUUCUUCGCCCUUGUCACUUACCAUCUCCCUUGCUCUAGGUGUCUGGGGCUCUGUCUUUGUCUGUGUCUUUCUCUUCCUCUGUGCUGCUUUUCCCUUUUUCUCACUUCCUUUCCCUCUUUGACUCCCUCUUCACCUACCCUCUCCUCUUUUUUCUCCUCCCUGCUUCUUCAACUCUCUCACUGAAUGUCUCUAUCUCUGUAUUUUUUCUUUCUCCAUAAGUAACCAGUAUCCCCCUUUCACUCCCAAUAUUGUUCAUUUGCCACUUCCCAUAUGUUUUCUUGAUAUACCUUGCCAAAGUUGACAACUGUGUUUGUCUGUUCAACAAACUAACUUUUCGCCAUUAAAAAUAUCCUUUUCUAUGACAUUAAUUUCUCCCCCUUAUGCUUCUCUUUCUUCUAGCUUCUUUGGGUGUAUUCCAAUAGUUUUUUUUCUUCCUCUAAAUUUUUAAGUGAUACACUUAGCUUAUUUUCAGUCCUUCUUUUCAAAUAUAUAUGUGUAAGGCUGUAACCCUCCAGGUAUAAUUUUACCUUUUAAAAUUGUCAUUUACAUUUUAGACUCAGGGGCUAUAUGUGCAGGUUUCUUGCAAGGACAUAUUGCAUGAUGCUGAGGUUUGGGCUUCUGUUGAAUCCGUCACCCAAAUAGUGAGCCUAGUAUUUAAUAGAAAGUUCUUCAGCCCUUGCCAUUCUCUCCCACUCACCAUUCUUGUAGUCUCCAGUGUUUAUUGCCUCCAUCUUUAUGUCUGUGUGUACUUAAGAUUUAGCCCCUACUUAUAAAUGAAAAUAUGUGAUAUUUGGUUUUCUGUUUCUGUGUUAAUUUGCUUAGGAUAACGGUCUCCAGCUGCAUCCAUGUUGCUGCAAAGGACAGGAUUUUAUUCUAUUUUAUGGCUGCAUGGUAUUCCAUGGUGUAUAUGUACCACAUUUUCUUUAUCCAGUCCACCAUUGAUGGGCACCUGGGUAGAUUCCAUGUCUCUGCUAUUGUGAAUAGGGCUGUGACAAACACAUGAGUGCAGUUACCUUUUUUGGUAGAAUGAUUUAUUUUUGUCUGGGUACAAAUAUAAUUUUAAAUGCAUCUCACAGAUUUCAUAAAUAGUAUUUUUGUCAUCAUUCAGUUUUAAGCAUUAUAUUUUUAUUUCUUAUUUGACCCACAAGAUAUUCUGUUGUGUUUAAAAAUUCCUAAAUAUAUAUGUGUAUAUACACAUUUUAAUGUUAUAUUUUUAAUAAUGAAUUUUAUCCUAAUUGUGUUCCAAGCAGACAGAAAAUGCAAUCUGUAUGAUACCAAUUCUGUGGCAUUUAUUGAGACAUCAUUGUGGCUUAUUACAGAGUCAACUUUCAUAAAUGUUUCAUGGAUGCUUGAAAAGGAUGUAUAUUCUUUAUUUAUUGAGUGUACUUGUCAUGUACAUGUACAUGAGCUCAAAUUUACUAAUUUUGUUGUUAUGUUGUGUUCUGUAUCUUUUCUGAUUUUUACUUGCUUGAUUUAUCAAGUUCUAGGAGGGAUAUCCUGAAAGUUCUCAUGUGACAGAGGAUUUCUCUACAUUCUGAUAAUUUUUGCUUAACAUAUUGUGAAUGUUAUUAUAUGUAUAGAAGUUUAGGCUUUUUAUAUAUUUCUGGUGAAUUGAAACUUUGGUUGCAUAAAAUGACUUUUAUCAAAUGACUUGCCCCCAUCUGAGGGUAUUCUCCUUGAGGACUCCUGGCUAUUUGAAAAAUUCCUGACCUAGCCUCAUAUUAUUCUUAGAGAUCUAAGCAUUGUUUCAUAUUUUUGGAGAAGCUGUGGCAUAUUUAAACAUAGAUCCCAGGGCUUCAGAGAUUAACAAUGUCCUAAUGAAAGCUUCAGUCUUCAGACCUUAUUCAUUUCUCUAAAUUCAUGCUUGCUUUGUUUGCGUUUUCUUUAUCUGUUCCUCCCCACUCCCCUGGCUGGCUUCUGAUGAUUCUCUUACUUCCCGUGUAUUUGAAAAGUUUUAAAAAUCAUUCCUUGACUAUUAUAUCUGUCAUCUAUGUGUCCUUUUUUGGAGGAUUUCUCCACCCAAACAUCUAUCAUGGUAUUUUUUCAGGAAUGGAAAUCGCAUUCUCAAUUCUUCACACAUAUAUGGUGUGUGUCUCUGUGACUCACCUUAAUUCCUUUACUUUAUCCUUUCUAUUAUUUUAACUACUAUUACUAAGGCAAUACUUUCUUUUGUAUUACUGAUUAUAAAGUAAUUCAUAUACAUGGUAGAAAGUUUGAAAACCAAUGCAAAGUAUUGAGGAGAAAAAACUACUCAUAAUAAUUAUUAGAAUCACAUAGCAUUUGGGGGGGUCAGAUUUGUUAAGAUACAAUUUGUAUAUCUCAACUUGUAUAAGAUUUACCUCUUUUAACUGUACAAAGAGACCACUUUUGACAAAUAUUUACUGCAGUGUAAUCAGCACAACAAUCGUGAUCUAGAACAUUUCAGACACCUCAGAUAGUUCUUUUAUGCCCGUUUGCAAUUAAUUCUCUCCCUGCAACUCCUGACCCCUGAAAACCACUGAUACACCACUGAUAUAUUUUUGUCUGUUCUAGAAUUUUACAAAUACAGAGUCAUAUAGUAUGAAGUCUUCUGUGUUUGUCUUCCUUCACUUACCAUAAUUCUUUUGAGAGGCAAUGCUGUUGCAUUUAUUUAGUAGUCUUGUCUUCAUUUUAAAUUCUGAGUAGUAUUACAUUGUAUGGAUAUUUUAAAAAUUAUUUUUCCAUUUCCCAUUUGGUAGAAAUUUGGAUUGCUUUCAGCUUUUGACCAUUGUGAGUAAAAAUACUACUGUGAAAAUUCUGUACCAUUUUGGAUUUCCACCAGCACCAACACUUGGUAUUGCAGUUGUCCCUUGGUAUCCACCAGGGAUUGGUUCCAAGACCCUAUGCGUUCCAAAAUAAAUACUUGUUCAAAUCUUGCAGUGGGCCCUGCACAACCAGCAGAUACAAACAUUCAGCCUCCCAUAUACACAAGUUUUGCAUCCCAUGAACACUAUUUUUAUGCCAUGUUUAGUUGAAACAAAUCCACAUAUAAAUGGACCUGUGCAAUUCAAACCUGUGUUGUUCAAGGGUCAGCUGUAUUUUUAAAUUUCAGCCAUUCUACUGUAUGUAUAUCAGUGUCUUACUUUAGUUUUUUAAUUUCCAUUCUCAAUGAAUAAUAAUUUAGAGCAUGGUUUUCAUAUGGUUAUUUUGCAUCUGCAUAUUAUUUUUGGUGAAGUAUUCACAUCUUUUGCCCAUUAAAAACUGAGUUGUUUGUCUUCUUAGUAUUGAGUUGUGUUUAUACAUUCUUAUAUAUUUAGAUAUUUUGUAGGUUAUCUCAUUACUUUCCCAAUAGUGUCUCUUGCAGAGCAAAAUAUUUUAAUUUUGAUGAAUUCAAAUUUACCACUUUUUCUUUCAGACUGCAUUGCAUCCUAUUUUAAAAAUACAUGGUUAAUCUGAGAUUAUUAAGAUUUUCUCCUAUGUUUUUAGUAGAAAUUUUAUAGUUUUACCCCUUCUAUUUAAGUCGAUGAUCCAUUUUAAAUAAGUUUUCAUGUAUAAUGUGUGAGGUAAGAGUUAAUGUUUCUCUCUGUCUCUCUCUGCAUGUGGAUAACUAACUCUUCCAGUAUAAUUUGUUAAAAGUUUAUUUCCCCAUUGAAAUGUCUUGGCACCUUUGUUGAAUAGCAGUUAACCUUAUUUAUGCAGGUCUAGUUCUGAACUCUACAUUCUGUUCUUUUGCAUAAUAAUCAGUAUGCCAACAUCACAUUUUCUUGUGACAAUAUGGCUUUCUGGUGAGUAUUAGGUAGUGUAAGUCCUCCAACUUUCUUCUUUCUUUACAAAAUUGGUUUGGCUCUUCUAGAUGACAUUUGCAUUUUCAUGUACAUUUUAGGAUUAGUUUGCCAAUUUCUACCAAAAAUCUGCCAAAAUUUUGAUGGGAAUUACAUUGAAUAUAUAGAUGAAUUUGGAAAGAAUUGCACUCUUAAAAAAAUUGAGUGUAUCUCUCUAUUUAUAUAGAUCUUUAAUAAUUUAUCUCAGCAAUACAUUGUAGUUUUCAGUAUACAGUCUUGCAUAUCUUUGUUUAAUUUCUAACUAGAUAUUUCAUAAUUUUAUGAGCAGUAUUACUUUAAAGUUUUAUUUUCUGAUUUUUCAUUGCCAGUAUUUAGGAAUAAAAUAAAUUUUAGAUGUAGACCUUGUAUCCCAUGACUUUUGUAAAGUCAUUUAUUGGUUCUAGUGGAUUUUUGAUAGAUUAUUUGGGUUUACCAGAUAGAUCGUCAAGUUGUCUCUUAGUAGAGAUUGUUUUACUUCUUCCUUUCCAGCAUAUAUGCAUUUCAAUUCUUUUACUUGCCUUAUUACACUGGCCAUUCAUUAUAACAUUGAGUAAAAGUGGUGAGAAUAUUUUUGUCUUGUUCUUUAUUUUGGGGGAAGGAAAAUCAGUCAUUCUGUAAGGACUACUAAAUAGAAUAACUACAGCUUUGAUGUAAUGUCAUUUAUUAAGUUGAGGAAAUUGUCUUCUAUUUGCAAUUAGCAGUUUUUAAAUCAUGGAUGAGUGCUGAAAUUUUAUAAGAUUUUGUUUGAUUGUAUCUAUUGACAUUAUCAUGUAGUUUUGUUUUUUUUUUUCAGUUUGUUAAUACAGCAAAUUAGAUUGAUUGCUUUUUGAAUGUCAAGCCAAUCUUGAAUUCCUAAUAUAAACCCCCUUUGGUCAUGAUAUAUAUUAGCUUUUAUAUAUUGCUGGACCUGAUUUGCUAAUAAUUUGUUAAGGAUUUUGUGUAUAUAUUCACAAGAGAUAUUAGUUUGUGGUGCCUUUUAUGCGAUGUUUGUGUCUGGUUUUGGUAUCAGGGCAAUGCUGGCCUCAUAUAAAUUAGGAUAUGGUUCUGCAUCUUCUCUUUUCUAGAAAAAUUUGUGCAGAAUUAGUAUUUCUUCUUAAUUGUUUGUUUGAAUUAAUUAGUAAGUCCUAGAAUUUUCUUUAUGAGUAGAAUUUUAACUAUAAAGUAAAUUAAUUUUAUUUUUGUUUUCCUUUGAGACUAUAGAGGUUAUGUCUUGUUAUCUAUUUUUUGAGUGCCUUGUCUAUAAAUACCAAAUCAUUUAUCUGUUUUAUCAAAAGUGUUGAAUUCAUUAGCAUAAAGCUGUUCAUAAUACUCUUUAUUAUUAUUUUAAUAUCUAUAGGCUCUGCACUGAUGCCUCAUUUCUGCUAUUGGUAAUUUAUAUCUUUUUUCUUUUGGUUCAUGACUAACCUCUAACUAGGUUAGUCAUAAACCUGUAACUAGAGCUUUAUUAAUUUUAUUGUCCUUUACAAAUAACUAGAUAUUUAACUUGCUGGUGUUUUCUAUUUUUUUCUGUUUGUUUGUUUUAGCUUAUUGGUUUCUGUUCUUAUGUUUACUAUUUUCUACUUCUAAUUAUUCAGUGUUUAAUUUUUCUAUUUUUUUUCAAAUUUCUUAAGGUAGGAGGUUAGGCUAUUGAUUUUAGACAUUUAUUGUUUUCUAAUAUAAGCGUUAAUGCUAAAAAAUUUCCUCUAUGCACCGCUUUAGUUUCAUGUCACAAACUUUGACAUGUUCCAAUGUUCAUUCUGUUUAAUGUAUUUAAAUAUUCCCAUUUUGAUUUCUUUGAUCCCAUCACUACCCUCUGGUGUUUUACCUAAUUUCCAAAUAUUUGAGGAUUUUCUUGAUAUUUUCUAGUUUUGGUUUCUGAUUCCACUGCAGUUAAAGAACAUACUCUAUAUUAUUUCAGUCCUAUUAUUUGGAAAUAAUGUGUCUCUUGUUGAAUUUUUCUCUUUACUAUUAUGUAUUUUUGGCAAUAGUUAUUGCUCUAAAAGUUAUAUUUUCUGAUAUUAAUAUAACCAAAUAAGCUUUCUUUUCAGUGUUAGCACAGUAUAUCGUUUUUCAUACAUUUACUUUUAAGCUGUAUGUUUUUGUUUGUUCAAAGUGAGUUUCUUCUAGACAACAUUUAGUUGGAUUUUGCUUUUUCAAAGUUUUUUAUUUUAUUUUACUCUAAGUUCUGGGAUACACGUGCAGAAUGUGCAGGUUUGUUACAUAGGUAUACAUGUGCCAUAGUGUUUUGCUGCACCUAUCAACCCAACAUCUAGGCUUUAAGCCCUGCAUGCAUUAGGUAUUUGUCCUAAUGUUCUCCCUCCCCUUGUCCCUGACCCCCCUAUGGGCCCUGGUGUAUGUUGUUCCCCUCCCUGUGUCCAUGUGUUCUCAUUAUUCAACUCCCACUUGUAAGUGAGAACAUGUGGUGUUUGGUUUUCUGUUGCUGUGUUAGUUUGCUGAAAAUGAUGGCUCCCAGCUUCAUCCAUGUCCCUGCAAAGGACAUAAUCUCAUUCUUUUUUAUGGCUGCAUAGUAUUCCAUGGUGUAUAUGUGCCACAUUUUCCUUAUCCAAUUAGAUUGGAUUAAAAAAAUCCCAUCUAACAAUCUCUGACUUUAAAUGGGAUUAUUUAUAUCAUUCACUUUUCAUUUGAUGAUUGGAUGGUUGACUUUAAAUAUUUACUUGUAGGAUUAUCUUGAGGGUUGAUAACUUCAUAUAUUAAUAUAUGCAGUUAUUAGAGCAGUGCCUAAAACAUAUGAAGUUCUCACUAAACAUUUGCCGUUAUUAAAUGACUCUUCCAGGGGCAAGCAUGUAGUAAACACCAGAGUCUAAAUUAACCUCAUCUCUCCUAACUUGAAUAUAUACUUUUUCCUUUACAUAAAGGUGAUGUGACUAUUUAAAUUAUGAUCAUUAAAAACCUUGAUGAAUUCUUUGUUGUUUCCUUCUUGGCUGCUAAGCUCAUAAAUUCAGUUUGAGCUUCAGUUAUGUGAUUCUGAGCUGUCCAAUGAUGACAGAUUCCUUACAUACCACUCUAUCAUAUAUUUAUGAAAUAAUUUAUAUUUUUGUUGUCCUUGGGGCAUCAAAUAUUUCUUUGGAUGUCUUUGACACCAAGUUCAUUUUCUCUCUCAUGAUGGCAGAGAUACUUUUUGUAUAUCACUAGAAAUACAACUGUCAUACUUCCUGGUAGAAAGUAAUGUUUAGGGUAUGGGCUUAGAUAUAGGGAAGAAAUGAUGACAAAUCAGAUAGUCAUGAGGGUUUUGAGCAUCGCUGGGCUUUCACGAUACCUUCUUCUCUGUUAUUAAAGUAGGGCAAAAAGCCAUUCAUUAUGUGAUUUUUGUCUAGGCAAAUAUUUAUCUAGUUCAAUUGUAGAUUUAACCUUGUUGGGGUCCAAGGAUGCUUUCCAUGGUGUUCUUGAAUUGGACUGGCUUAGAGAGCUAAGGAUCUCUGUAACUAAACCUUAUCCAAAUUGACAAAUGAGGUAGUUUUUCAAAAUUACCUGAAAGCAACACUGGCUUACUUUUUGACUUUGGAUAUAGUUAGAAACUGGAUUUACUUAUUUCUUUUGUUUAUUUUUAUUUAUUUAUUAUUAUUAUUUUUUAGAUGGAGUCUCGCUCUGUCGCCCAGGCUGGAGUGCAGUGGCACGAUCUCGGCUCACUGCAAGCUCUGCCUCCCAGGUUCAUGCCACUCUCCUGCUUCAGCCUCCUGGGUAGCUGGGACUACAGGUGCCGCCACCACGCCCGGCUAAUUUUUUGUAUUUUUAGUAGAGAUGGGGUUUCACCGUGUUAGCCAGGAGGGUCUCGAUCUCCUGACCUUGUGAUCCGCCCACCUCGGCCUCCCAAAGUGCUGGGAUUACAGGCGUGAGCCACCGCGCCUGGCCUCCUUUGUUUUUAAUUAAGGAAAAGGACAUCAAUAUCUUCCAUAUUGAAGGGAGUGGAAGGCGGGACUAAUUAUAUAUAUAUUAUCUUUUACUUCCAUGAUUUUUUUCUCCUUUUGGGAGUUCGCAAAUAGUUUUUUGAUGACGGCAAAUACUCCUCAUUGCUAAUUUUUGGUGACAGAGAAUAUUAACUCUUUCUUCUUUAGAAAAUAGGAGGAGGGGAAGCCCUCUCUUCUACUUUGAAUUAGAGUACGUGCUUCAUUUGUUUGUGACGAACCGCCCUUGGGGAACUUUUCCUUUCCUUCUUUCCUAGAUUAACAAUGGUACCAGCACGUGCAGAAAAGAAAGAGUCUCCGCUUGUCUUUGUCUGAUUCUCCUGUCCUCUCCAUGGAAGUUACAUUUUCUGUAAAGGAUGAGCUGAAAAUUCUCCUGGUCGUUGCCAGUUGAACUUCUGCUGUGCUCUGGGAAGGCAUUCUCACUCUGUUUAUGUUGUCUAAGUGCAGACAUGGAUGUGCAGGUUUGCUAGAACCUCCUGAGGAUGUGCAAUGGUUCUGUUCAUGCCUGAAUCAGUUCUUUUGGGAGUGGACAUUCUUUCUCUCCCUCAUGCACAGCCUCAGGCACAUGGCUUGAGCUAUGGCGGCACGCAGUAUGGCCAUCACCCAGGUACACCCCUUCCCUAAGAAGAGGCUCUUCAGGUUACACUCGGGUACUGUUGUUAUCUGGCUUAUUGUCCAUAGGAUCAACAUAGAGUCCUGAGGUCAGUUCAAACCAUCAAACCAGGGAUGUUACUUAUUAUUUGAAAACUUCUUUGGAAAGAUAAUCUUGGGUUGUUCAGUGGGACCAGUCUUUGACGGGCAAAUCUCCAGAAUACAUGGGGUCAGUUCUCUCAGGUUCAGGAAGCAUGUAAUCUCUCUAAGAUUCAUUAAUUAAAAAAAAAAGACACAUGCAUAGAAAAAUAGAACAAAAUGGAAACUCUUUAUUGGAUACCUACUAUGGGUUAUGUGCCAGGGUUUCCUAAUCAUUUGGGGACAUGUGUGUAUAAACAAAACCAGGCUAUGUGGCCAGGCAGUGUGUGGCUCACACCUGUAAUCCCAGUGCUUAGGGAAGCCAAGUUGCAAGGAUCGCUUGAAACCAGGAGUUCGAGACUAGCCUGGGCAACAUAGUGAGACCCGGUCUCUGCAAAAAAAAAAAAAAAAGAAAAAGAAGAAGAAGAAAGAGAAAGGAAGGAAGGAAGGAAGGAAAGAAAGAAAGAAAGAGAAAGAAAGAAAGAAAGAAAAGAAAGAGAGAGAAAGAAAAAGAAAGGAAAGAAAGAAAAGAAAGAAAGAAAGAAAGAAAGGAAGAAACAAAGAAAAGAAAGAAAGAAAGAAAGAAAAGCUAGGAAGCUAGGGUGUGGGGGCGCAUGCCUGUAGUCCACACUACUUGGGAAGCUGAGGCAGGAGGAUUGCUUGAGCCCAGGAGAUCCAGGCUGCAGUGAACUGUGAUUGUGCUAUUACAUUCCAGCCUGGGCAACAGAGCAAGACCCUGUCUCUACAAAAACAAAACAAAACAAGACAACAGCAACAAAAAAGACCUGCCUAUGUCUUCAUGAACUUUGCAGUAUAGUGGUAGAAUAUGUGAGGGCCUGUUCUGUUGUGCUUCUUGGACACUCGGUGGGUUUACGCAACCUCAAUCAGGAGCUCUGAACACCGUCAGGCCUUAGCCAAAAUCUCUAUAAAGUAAUUUCUAUGUAUGAGUGCCAACUGCUAGGGGCAGUUCUGCUGAGCAAACUCUAAAGUUGUAUGCACGGGCUUACAGUUAUAACUCAUUUGGGGCUGAGAGGAGAACCUGUUAUUUGGUUUCCUGUCUCCUGAUCCAGAUGUUACAUUUUGUCGUGGGCAUGGAAAGCCCCCAAACUCCCCCAAGACAGUACCUAGUUCAUUCUGGGAGGUUCCAGGUGUCCUGUCUUUUGUAUUUCCAGAGGAGUUAAUGGAAGAGUAUAGAAACUCUGCUCUCUAUCCUGUAGCUUCCUUGCUACACAAGUUAAUUUGGGAUUAGAUAUUUUACCUCUUGAUAAAGUUUUAGUAUUUUGUGAGACAAAAACUGAGUUGAGGUAGAAAUAUUUUUCUGUCAUGGGACAUUACUCAGGAUGCAAUAAACUGUGUUUUGCUUGUGGCAAAAUUUGCAAACCUUCACUCAGUGAAAAGGACAUGAUUUUGUUAGCGAUGAAGCCAGUGAAAAGUCAAAUUUACCCAUUUCUUUCCACAUGGGUAAUUUUUUGAGCAUUGCACUCCCAUUUAUGGCAUGUGCUCUGUUUUCAUCGAGGACUAUAAUUAGACCAACAGGGGUGACUGUUUUAGCAAAAAUGUAAAGACUCAGGAAGAUACGUACCCCAGGAUUGCAUGAACCUAAAUCUGGAGUCAGUUCUUAGUGGACUCUUUCCUUUCCCCAUCAUCAUUACAUUUAAAAAGUAUGAACUUACUGGAAGCUUUAUAUAAACUAACACCUAAAGUUCUCUCAACCCAAGGUUGAUUUGAGCAUGUGUGUGUAAGUGCGUGGUGAUGUCUAGUGCCAACUGAUCCUGUCUAAAAGCCAUUUCCUAUUCUAAUUAGUAGGUCAGCAGGCAGGUUAAAAUAUUAAUUAUAAAGCUGCCAUCACUUAUUAGGAGAAAUCAGAAUUCUUCUUAAUUAAAACAGCUGCUAAUUAAUUUGCCCUUGACAACUCUAAGAAAUAAUAGAGCAAAAGAAAGAAUAAUUGGAAGUAAAACUGAUGAAAAUAGUUUAGAUUUCAUUUUAAUCAUUUGAGGAAAUGUUACACUAAAAAUAAGUAGCAUAAAUUAUCAAUUUGUCUAGAAAAAAUUAGGACUUUUAGAAAGUUGCCAAUGUGGCUAUACCAUUUUAAAAAAUGUUUGUUUUUUUUCAGGCCCAUCAAUGAGAGAGACAACAUUUAGAUAGGAGUACUGGACAUUUGAAAAUUCUUACACCCUGUGAUGUGACAUGGAGAAGUGACCAACACAACUUUGCCAACUAUACUCCAUUCUUAGUAACUGCCGAUUAGGAAGGAUUUCUUUCUAAGUCUGUCACUAAUUCAACUGUUAUUCACAAGAGAAGUAGAGGCAAAUGAUAGCAGCUUGAUCGUUGAUUUUUGAUUUAGAUGAUCAAUGAUGUUCAGAAUAGUGUUUGUAUGUGUGAGCAUGGAUGUGUAUGUCGUGUGUGUGUCUGUGUAUGUGGUGUGUGUGUCUGUGUAUAUUGUGUGUGUGUGUGUGCAUGCGUGUGUGCAGGGUAGGUAUCACCACAUUCCCUGUGGUGGUGUGUCUCUUCUCUGGGAUUGGUUCUUCUAGAAUCUCCCACCUUUUAGAACCACUUUAAGAUAUUUAUUUAUUCUCUCCAACCAUCCUGGCAAUCUUUUUAUCCUUAAACAGGAAUAAAUUCCUACAGCUGAAUCUAUUCAGGAUUUCUGUGUGUAUGUGUGAAAAUUUAUAUGAUGCUCAAUCCUUUAAAAAUCUUUUAUUCAAGUAACUUUAAAAGUAAAACACAAGGUGUUUUAUCAUAAAAAGUGAGAGAUGUUAGUCCACUUAAUUUCUUGCUUGCUUUCUUUUGUGUCCCUAGAUUACUUAGCCUCUGUUUCCAGCCAGCAGUGGAAACAGCAAGGGUGAGGGUCUUAGGAGUCGACAUGUAACACCUAUUACUUCCCUUUGAAGUUCAGAACCAAUUUAGAGUUAAGAGCCAAGAGACACACAAAUAGAGAUCUUAUUUCAGCUUUAUUACUGAUAAAACCAUCUGGAGAAUGUGUUUUUAAAUUUGUGUGCAAAUGGCUUGCUCAGACACCCUGAUUGGAUUAGUUGGAUUCAUACCCCCAGCCAUGGACAGCUCUGGGCAUUUCCAGGCACCACCAUGGGGCCGGCCUGGCCUGCUAGGCAGAGAGAGAACCAUUGUGGUUUGCAGAAUAUACUGUAAUCAGUUUCCUCUACUAACUCCUUUAGUUAGAAAAGUCACUCAUCACCUGACGAUAGAGGGGCCAGAAGGGCAUGUUACACUCAAGUGCCUCCCCAUGGAAACAUGAAGAGUGAGGAAUAACUGUUCCUUCCUAAGAGCAAGUAGGAUUGAUUAAUCCCUUGAACCACAAUAUGCAGUAAGACAAGCAAUUUAUGUAGGGACUUGAGUUCUGCAGUUAGUGUACUUAUCUCUGGUAGGAGGCAUUCCAUGUUUUUAAGGCAGUCCUGUUUUUUUACUUAAGCUCCUUUCACUCUCAAACAUGUUCUAGUAUACCCGGCCUCAUGUGGAUAAUUAAUUAUAUAAUGCCCGUAGUGUCUGGGGAUAAAGAAGUCAAUAGAUUGAAUCUCCUUAGAUAGCCUGACAGUAAACUUAUACUUGUGUUAUUCUUGGAGUUUGAGAUUGUUUUCCAGGAUAUCCAUUUGGUGGAAUUUCAUAUUACUGAGAACUGAAACUAUCCAUCAGUGUGAACAAUAACAACAGUGUUUGCAGCAAUGAGAAACCACCACUUCCUAUGUGACUUUGUUGAAGACAUUUCCAGAUUGCAUAUAAUGUCCCUCUGGACUAGACUUUAUUUUUUCAGAGAGAUGGUGAUUUAAAGUGAAUUUCCUCCCUUUCCAUGACCACACCUGCAGCAUUUAUUGAAGGUUUUGUCUUUUAAGACACAGGGAUUAUGAUGGUAUUAAGUCUCCAGAAAGUGAAGCUUUCCUGGGCGAUGGGAAACAUAAGAAACAAACUGAGAAAUGGGGGUUAAGAGUAGAACCUAAGAAGACUCCAGGACACGUCCUGGAGAAGUGAUAUUUAUAGCAGGAUAUAGGAAAUGAUUCCAGCCCCGUAGCAUGGGAAGAAAUGGCUGUGUGACCGGAAUCCAAGGCAAACUGUUUGCCUGCUCUCAUGUAUUAAGCUAUAAGAGGGCAAACUGUUAUCAGCAAGACUGCACAUGCUCAAAUAUAUUGCCCCUGGUUAUUUAAAUGUCUAUUAAAAGUGUUCCAAUUUAGGGUCAGGAUUUGAAUUUCUUCUAUUAAUUGAUGAAAAUUUGCGAGGCUCUGUCAGAAACCAUUUUCUUUAUCAGGGCUCCAAAGUAAAAGAGGUGUUAGCUGGGUAGCUGGGCUGCUAUUCUUAGUAAACCCCCUCUCCUCCUGCUAUGCUGAUAUACUAAUAUUUUACUUAGCAUUUGAAAAAUCCUUUGGCUGCAAUUAAAAGUCCUGUAAGUCUGAGUGGGUAUACAGAGGCUAGGGUAAAAAUUAAGUAUUUGCUUCCCACACAUUUUUUUUUUGAAUAUGUGACUCUUACUAUACUGAGGAAGUCAGAAUACCAUUCAGAUAUCAAUGAAUUUAUUUAUUUAAAUAUAAUUAUAAACAUUUAAAUCCUGAAGCACUUCUAAAUGAAAUGUAUUUUCAGGUUUUAUUUUACUGAGAGAGAAGUGCAGAGCCCAAGGAAUGAAUUAAUUAUUAGUCAAAAGAUGACAUAAGUGUGAAGACCAAGAGGGGAAAGGUGGUAUGUUGUAUUUAAGAUAUAAGUGGAAAUUCAAUAUAUUUAAAGCAUGGAGUUUGAGAGAAAGAGAGUGGUGGGAGGUGAGUCUGAAGAGAUGUAGGAACCAAAUCUCCAUCUACGGGAAGGUCCCGGAAGCCAUGGUAAGGAUAUUGGUGUUUCUAAAGGUGCCCAAGAGAGCAGGAGAGGGGAGGAGAGGUCAGAGGUGCCCCAAAAGGGGUCUGUGUCCAGAGAGCUAACUGAGCACACAUGUCUAUUUCCCUCUUGGUUCCACUUUCCUUUCAUGACUUACAGUGCAUCAUUAAGAAGAGUAUGUCUUAGAGAGAACUGGAUGAUUAGAGAAGAAGUGGUCAUUGAACUAAAACUUGUGAUGAAUUCUUGGAAGGUAGACAGAGGUGCCAAAGCCCAAGAUAGACAUCAGAGAAAAGAGAGGGGAAGGUGAGAACACCUAGCUCCCAUUCAGGGGAAAACAUUUUGGGUAAACAAUGCUACAUAACUAUAGACAAAACACAUGACAGUAAUUUGCACUCAUUAACCUAGUUAACCUCAUUUUCCAGUCAUCAAAAGAAGGAGAUAACUGAAGCUUAUUAGAUCUUCAAGGAAAACCAAGAUCAUGGGGGAAAAACGACUGAACAAUCACUUAGAAAAUAAUUAUUUAGCAUUUAAUUAUUGCCAGGGACUCUUCUAAAACCUUUUCUUAAAUUAACUAAUUCAAUCCUCAACAACUCUGAGAGGUACUGUUACUAUCCUUAAGAUGAGGGAACUGAGGAACCAAGAGGUUAAGCAAUUUGCCUUUGGUUCACAUAGCUAAUGAUGUGGAGAUUUGAACUUAGGCUGUUUGUCUCCCAAGCCUAUGUUCUUAAAUUUGGGGAAAUAGUAAAGAUAAUUUCCACAAUGUGAAGACAGUUAGCAGCCUUAAGGAUGAAAGGAUGGUGCAAAUACCAUGCCCAGUGAGUGACAGAGUAUCAAGGCUGGUAGAGCCUGAUGAAAGCACAAGUUUUCAGAAAAGAGGGAAACAAACAAUUCCUAUAAAGUUAAGAAAAUCACAUUGACACCAGACUUCUCAUUGGUAGAGACCACAAAGCCCUUUUCAAAAGUGGGUCAAACUGGCAGGCUGAGCACAUAUCCUUCCUUCCCUUUCUGUCAAAAGAUGGGACAUUGUCUUCAACUUUGAAUGACUUACACAGCAAAACAUUCAAAUUUAUGGAAAGAAAUGAAGACAAUUUUAGACAUGCCAGACUCAUGGUUUACUAUACAACAACCAUCUCAGAAAGAGUUAUUCAGUAAUAGCAUCAAAAUGAAAAAUAAAUCAAAGAAAUAAGGUAGUAAUCAAAAUAAGAGUUAAGUAACUACUGACAGAUAUAAGGAAAGUAGUAACCAUUCGGAACUAAAAACAAUGGUAUAUGUUGCUGGAGGAGCAGUGUGGGGAGGGUGAGUAUGGCAGCAUAGUGUGAUUUCUUUUUGUUUCUGGAGAAAAUAUAAAAGUAAUCAAGCUUAGUUUUGUGUGUAUUUUCUUUUAGAGAUGGGGUUUCACCAUGUUGCCCAGGUUGGACUCAAAUUCUUGAGCUCAAGCGAUCCUUCAACCUCAGCCUCUUGAGUAACAAGGAUUCUAGUCACAUUCCACUGUGACUGGCUGCAUACAAAUAUGUGAAGAGCAAGUAUUACAAACGCAGUAUUAGGAUUUAUUACUUCUAGACCACUAGAGGGGGAAAUGGGAUAAAGAAAAAACAAUGAAACCAAAGACAAGGAAGUGAAAUAAAUAAAAACAAAAAUUAAAAAGAGAAAACAGAACCAAAAAUGAAUGUGAAAUAGAAACAAUAAUACAGCAGAAUUAAGUUUGAAUAUAACAUUAAUCCCAAUUAAUGUAAAUAAGUGAAAUUCUGCUCUUCAAAAAUGGGUACUCUGAGAAUAGACAAGCAAGUCAAAACCCACAAACCGCUGUAACAGGGUGUGAAAAACAAUAAUAAGUUUUUUUCCUCAAAUAAAUGAUACUCCAGUGUCAUGCACAAAUCUUAAUUCUGUACUUUUAAAUAGAUAUUAAAAAUUAUUCCUAAUUUAUUAAAAGAAAAAUCUUACUUGAUCGUGAUGUGUUUUACUCAACAAUAGAAGGAUGGCUCAACAUUCAGAAAUAUAUUACUUUAGCUCAGUAUAACAUAGAUUAAAGAAAAAAUCACAUUCACUCAUAGAAAUAUAUUAGUUGUAUUCUUGUAAAUGCAGCUCUUUCUCAUUGAUUUAUAAAAGCUCCUUAUGUAUUCUGGAUAUUACUAAUGGUUCCUCGAUGUUUAUAUUGCAAUGAUUUCUUCUUUUUAAAGUAAUAUCCUCUAUUUUGAAUAAUUUAGAAUAUUAUCAUUUUAAUACUAUAAAUAUUGUUAAUACUGUUAUUUUAUCUUCUGGAUUAUUAAAUAUUGUUGAAGAUGGGCUUUCCUUAUCCUAGGUUUUUAAACAAUUCUCUCAUAUUUUCUUCCACUACUUUUAUAAUUGUUGGCUACAUUGCUGUUUGUAAGACUGAUAAACUGGGAACCAACUGAAUGUUGUUGGUGAAAUCAUGGUGCAUUCAUAUGAUGGGAUACUUCUGAGCUCAAAUGAAUAAUCAGAGUUAUAUGAAAUAAUAUGGAAAGAGCUCCAAAACACAGUCAGUAGAAAAAGCAAAUCACAGAGUAAAAUAUAAUGACUACAUUAAGGUAAGAAAGUCUUUAUGGAAUACAAAUGCACAGAGAAUGUCUAAAAUGGAAUAUACCAAUGCAUUUCAAACUGUGGGAAGGGGAAUUCAAUUGGUUGGUACUCUGAAUUCUAUAUUAUUUGAAAUCAGGAAGAUAAUGUUAGAAUAAUUAAUUUAAAAGGAGGGAAAUAUAAGAAAACAGAGGCAGCUGUUGAUCAAGCUUUUACAGCAUCUGACUCAGGCAAGGCUCCUGUUAUCUAGGCUAGUGCCUCUCUAGUACUUAACCUGGGCAAUUGUAAGAGCCCUGGGCCAAUAAAAUAACCAGGAGGACUGGGGUAUCCCUGCUUCCAGGCUCAAGCCAUCCCCCCAUCUCAGCCUCCCAAAGGGCUGGGAUUAUAGGUGUGAGCCACUGCAACCACCACAUAAGGUUCAUGAACCUCUGUGGAGCCUGGGAGAGUCAGCAUGGGACAGGAACCAGCUCGACAACUAUAUGGACCAGAGACACCUGGGUUUAAUUUAAAUCCAGGCUCCACCCUUUGGAAUUUGUUUGCAGGAAACAGACUAUGAUGCAUUUCUUAAGGUGCAGGUAGGUUAAAUGUGAUGCAUUUUCUAGCACAGUGCCUGGUUACUUUAUUUUAUUUUGGAUUAUAAAAUGAAGAUUUCUAAGGCUCUUUAUGAUUCUAAUAUUUUUAUGGGUCUUUUGAAUCUGGGAAAUGUGGUUGGGGGAAGAGCUCUAUUAGACAUUAUUGUCAGGUAAAUGAAGAGCAUUUACUAUAGUAGCUUCUUACUGAGGCCUGCUAGAUUAGAUUAAUUUUAUGCUGUGGAUUAAACUGGAUUUUAAUUAUGAGCGCAAAUAAGAUCCUGGUGUCAUUCAUCUAUGUUAAUGUUAAGAUUUUUCUUUUUCUAAUGGUUCUGACAGAAAGAGGGAAAGGCUAUUCUUGGAACAUGAAUAAGGCAUAUAUAGCCACAGCUAUACAUACCUUUAAUUACAACCAGGAAGAGUUCAGAGGGGAGAAAAGAAGAUGAGGUAUAUGAUCCCAUGAUAUGCUAAUUAGAAUUUUUCAUAUAUGUUGGUUUGCAAAAUACUACUGAAUACGCAUUAGGUAUUUUUGCAAAGACAUUGAAGAGGAAAUUUGUACUGCUUUAUGAGCCUCCAGUCUCUCUGAAGAUAGCAACUUUCCAAACCACACUGGUCAGGAUGAAAAAAUGACUUUCUGCAAUUGCUCUACAGUCAGAACUUUGCAAUCACAGUGACUGAAGUGAAAGUGCUGACUAAGGGCUCUAUAGGAAGGUGACGUGCAGAAUUAUAAUAAGAAGGUGGCAAUGAUUCAACCAUGGGUCAUUUGGCAACUCUCAUUAGCAGGUGACAGGGCUGUGGUGAAGGGCAAAGGAGAAUCAUUCCAAUUAUGUCCCAUAGCUUUUACUUGUUCCUCCAAUUCCAUGCCUUUCUCAAUUUUGCUUUUUUUUUUUUUUUUCAGGGUCUCACUCUGUCACCCAGGCUACAUACAGUGUGGUGGCACAAUGGCAGCUCACUUCAGUCUCAACCUCCUGGGCUCAAGCAAAUCCUCCCAGCUCAGCCUUCUAAGUAGCUAGGAAUAUAGGCACAUGCCAUCAUGUCCGGCUAAUUUUCUUCUUCUCAUUAUUAUUAUUAUUUUGUAGAGACAGGGUCUCAUUAUGUUUCCCAUGCUGGUCUCGAACUCCUGGGCUCAAGCCGUCCCUCCACCUCGGCCUGCCAAAGUGAUGGGGUUACAGGUGUGAGCCAUUGCAACCAACAAUUUUGCUUUUCAGUGUAGUUGUUUGCAUACUUGCCUCCCCAGUAAGAUUUUAAAGGUGUGCAAAGGCAUAAACUAGACACGUAUUCAUCAGUGACCCCUAUAGCACUUAGCAGGAUACUUUGCAGGAAUAUUCUGCAGUAAUUGCUGCUUCAUAAAUGUUGGUUGGAUUAUAUCUUCAAAUAUCUGGUCCUGUGGAUUUAUUCCACAGAUGCUGCAUUAAACAUUUGGCUAUAAGCAUAAACAGACAUGUGGGAUAGGCUUUGUGCUUGGCCUGAAAGAGUUUCACUCUUUUUAAAAAAUUAAAGUUUUAAAAUAUAUUUUGGAGACAGAGUCUCAUUCUGUCACUCAAGUCUGGAGUGCCAUGAUGCUAUCACAGGUCACUGCAGCCUCAAACCCCUGGGCUCAAGUGAUCCUCACACCUCAGCCUCCCGAGUAGCUGGGACUACAGUUGUGAGCCACCAUGCCCUGCUAAUGUUUUCAUUUUUAUAGAGGUCUUGUUAUGUUGCCCAGGAUGGUCUCAAACUCCUGUCCUCAAGCGAUCCCGUGCCACCUCAGCAUCCCAAAAUGUUGGGAUCACAGGUGUGAGCCACAGCACCUGGCAGGAAACUGACUCUUUAUUAAAUCUGUGAGUCCCAUUUUACGCUUAACAGAGUGACUUGAGUGUAUUGCUUGUCAGGAGCCAUAGUCGGAGAGCUGUGCUCCAAACCAGUAUGAUUUUAAAAAACUUCCUGAAGAGAAGAAACAAAGGCACUGAAGUCAGCUUUGAGUUGACUUGUUCUAAUUUUGAACACCUCUUGUUAUCAGUAAAUCCUUCAGUCUCCAAUCUCACAAGGUGCCUUUUAAUCCCCCGUACUCUCUCUUUUCUCAUGGGAGAGAUGGAUUUUGGCCACUUUGCUAUGUUAUGUGGAACCAUUUAUGCUCUUGACUGUGGUAGCAGUAUGACCUCGCAGCUUCGGGUGAGGUUUGAGCCAAAUCAUGCAUUGGUCUGUUUUCCCCAUUAACUGGUGAACUGUAGAGUUAGAGCUAUGGAUGUAGAUUACAUUUUGAAGCUUAGUCAUCAGCAAGAGCCUGAUUAAUUUCUUUAGCUCUGAUAUUAGUCCAAAGCCAGAGGCUUUCAGUUUGGUGAAAAACAUUAACUGCCUCCUUCAUUUGGGCUGAUUGAUUGGUGGCUGAACAGAAGGCAUUUCUUCCAGUCCACAGUGAAUGUGAAUUUUCCUUCAGAUGCUCCCACUGAAAGCAUAAGCUUUGUUUACUCAUGCAAGGAGUGAAAAGAUCAGAUUCCUUUUCUGCUCAACUGUUCCUAACAGCUUUCUCAGAAUCUUAAUUUUUCUCUUCUACUCCCAGCCAGCAAGGAGAGAUGGUGGCAAGACACUGACUUUGAAUUGGAGGAUGGGAUUGAAGACUGCUCCUGCUUCUUCCUUGGUCAAUGCAUUAAUAACCAGCUCAGAAAAUAAUAUGUCAACCAGAUUUUCUCUCUCAGCAGUGAAUAACAUCUCAGAAUACCUUGGAGGUGCUCACAACUGCGUGCGUUAUUUGCAAUUGGUCCUUGCUUUCCCUCCCCAGUGUGAAGAUUCAUUUCCUCUUCCUUUUCCUUAGCAGAGUUGAAAUGUUUCCUGCUUGCCUGAGUAUGAAGGGAUCACAUGUUUGUCCUUGUGUUUCAGCUCUGCAAUAUAAAUGCUUGAUGUAACCAUUUAACAGGAUUGAAUUUUAUCCGAACCAUUUAAAAGUUGGGGCAAACAAUGAAAAUGACUAAAAUAGCUAAGUUAUCUUCUAGUCUUAGUAGCUACUUAAAUGUCAGUUGGGUAAAUUUGAUGUAAGCAUUUGGUUUUAAUUAAUAUAUAUAUAUAUAUAUAUAUUGGUAGAGGUGGGGUGGGCUCCUGCUAUAUUUCUUAGGCUGGUCUUGAACUCCUGGGCUCAAGCAAUCCUCCCACUUUCGGCCUCCCAAAGUGCUGGCUUUACAGGCAUGAGCUACCAUGCCUAGACUGUUGGGUAAAUUUCCAUUGCCUGCUACUUGUACUUAAACCAGAAAUAUUGAAAGGGAUGAUUACUACUUUAGCCAAGAAUUAAGCUUAAAAUCUGAAUUGAGGUCAAAGUAUAAUAAUCCUAGUUAACAUUAAUCUGAGUGAUGGUGAUAACACAUUUUUGAAUUAUUUUAUGUGUAUUAUUUCACUUCAUUUUAGCAACAACCCUAAGGGGUAAGUGCUAUCAUUAUUAUUAUUACUACUAUUUUGCAGUUGAAGCAAUUUCAGAUUGGAGAGUUAAGUAACUUUACCCAAGAUUACAUGACCAGGAAAUAGAGAAGGUGGGACUCUAACUGCAGUCUACAUUUUACAGGUGACUAUGGAAUGCCACUAUAUUGUAUUUCCAGGUAGACUGUGAAUGGUUGAAACAUGCUCCUGUUGUCUGCUAACUGCUUAACGCCAGCUUCUGGGGUGCUACUUUCUCAAAAGAUGUAAUUGGCAUCAGGAUGGCCCUUCUCAUCUUAACAUUUGCUUUCAUGUAGAUUCUAGAAUGUUUGCAAAUACUUGUAUCUUAGUCCAUGGGUAGAUGAUUGUUUUAGCAGAAAAGGAUUUAUGUCACUUUAUAGAAGCAUAGGGAUUUAAGAUUGCCCUUGAAGAAUGGGCAGGGCUCAGAACAAUUAAAUGGAGUGAUGAUAGUCAGUUGAACUAUCUACUGCCACGGGCUGUGGUCUAGAUGAACCGAGCCUUUUCAACAUUAUCUUCAAAAGUCAUGAUUUUCUUUUUCUGUGAAAGGAGAAUAUUAUUCAUUUAACUCAUUGCAAUGAAUUUUCUGUGAUUUUUAUGCAUGACCCUGUUCAAUGCUGUGGUUUUGUACAGUGCUAUGGUGGAAUUAGCUAGCUUUUGGUUUUCUAGCAUUUGAAUACUCUCUUACUUGGAGACUGCCGUUUGUUAUGCAGGCCUUUGUGGGAGGGAUGGUGAGAUCCCCAAACGAAACAAAAGGAAGGAACAAAUAUCCUCUCUCCCUGUUCUUUGCUGCUUGAGUAACCUGGACUUGGCCAAUCAGAUGCUCCUGUCCAACACUGUGAGGUCAUCUGUGGAAAUUUCUAGCACUGUGAGUAUCCAGGGGAUGCAGCACCAACAUUGGCACCCUGGCCAGACUGUCUGGUGCAGACUUGACUAGGUUCUGAGCUGCCAGGCUUUCUCUGUUUUCUGCCAAUAUGCUGACUAUUAUCCAGGCUUCCCAGAGGUUUUGUGAGCUCCCACUACCCAAUAUUUCAUAAUACAUUCUAUUAGCGUUCUCCAGAGAAACAGAAUGAACAAAUGGACAACAACAACAACAACAACAACAACAACAACACACACACGUUAUUUAGUAUAAGGAAUUGGCUCAAGUGAUUUUGGAGGCUUAGAAAUUCCACCAUCUGCCACUUGCAAGCUGGAGAAAAGCCACUUGCAGGCAAGCCAGUGGUGGAAUUCUGAGAACCAGAGGGAUGAUGGUGUAAGUUCUAGUGUAGGGGCAGGAGACUGAUAUUCCAGUUCAAGAAGUCAGGAAAAGAGAAGAAAUUCUAACUUCUGCCUUUUUGUUCUAUUCAGGCCUUCAAUGGAUUGAAGGCCUCCUUCCCACAUUGGCAAAGGCAAUUUGUCUACUAAUUCAAAUGCUAAUCUUAUCCAGAAACACCCUCACAGACACACCCAGAAAUAAUGUUUAUCCCAAAACCUGGACACCCCAUGAUCCAGUCAAGUUGACACGUAAAAUUAACCAUUCUGUAUCUAUUCCCACCAAGUAAGCCAUAAUUGGUUUUUGAUACAUGGAAUCAGAAAUUCCACUGGUACAAGUCCCUUUCAGAAAUGUACAACUAUGGUUGGGUGUGGUGGCUCACACCUGCAAUCCCAACACUUUGGGAGGCUGAAGCAGGAGGAUCACUUGAGACCAGAAGUUCCCAGCCUGGGCAACAUAGCAAGGCCCCAUCUCUACAAAAAGAGAAAUACACAACUAGAUUUUAAAUAUGUAAUGGAAUUAUAAAAAUUAAUACAAAUAAUAUGACAGAAAUUUGUGAAACAGAAAAAACUCAUCCAUAAUCACACCAUUCUAAUAUGAUAUCACAUUUGUGGUUUUAAACUUUUUUUUAACCUAUAAACAUUUCCAUAGUUAUUCUCAUGCCUCACCCAGCUUCUCAAGGUGCUCACUCUGACAUAGCUCUUUCACGGAAAACUCAGUGGGCCACAAGAUUCUGGGGGAGCUCAGUGAGAAGUGUUUAAUAAUGAACCAGGAUGAGAUGUGCCUCACCCCUAGCCCCAGUUAGCAUGUAUUGAGUGAGGCAUCAUCUCACCUUAAGAAAAGUCCUUUUAGCAGGUAAUGGAAAAUUGUGUAUAGAUUAUUCUGCUUUAUUUUUA